UGAACGCUGGCGGCGUGCUUCCCACAUGCAAGUCGAACGAUGAAGCCCAGCUUGCUGGGUGGAUUAGUGGCGAACGGGUGAGUAACACGUGAGUAACCUGCCCUUGACUCUGGGAUAAGCCUGGGAAACUGGGUCUAAUACUGGAUAUGACUUCUCAUCGCAUGGUGGGGGGUGGAAAGAUUUAUUGGUCUUGGAUGGACUCGCGGCCUAUCAGCUUGUUGGUGAGGUAAUGGCUCACCAAGGCGACGACGGGUAGCCGGCCUGAGAGGGUGACCGGCCACACUGGGACUGAGACACGGCCCAGACUCCUACGGGAGGCAGCAGUGGGGAAUAUUGCACAAUGGGCGCAAGCCUGAUGCAGCGACGCCGCGUGAGGGAUGACGGCCUUCGGGUUGUAAACCUCUUUCAGUAGGGAAGAAGCGAGAGUGACGGUACCUGCAGAAGAAGCGCCGGCUAACUACGUG
rnacentral:rRNA from 1 species